UUGGUCAACCCUUGGUCAAUGGAUGGUCAACCCUUGGUCAACCAUUCAUCAACCCUUGGUCAACGGUUGGUCAGCCACUGGUCAACCCUUGGUCAAUGGUUGGUCAACCAUUCAUCAACCCUUGGUCAACCAUUCAUCAACCCUUGGUCAACCCUUGGUCAACCCUUGGUCAACCCUUGGUCAACGAUUCAUCAACCCUUGGUCAACCAUUCAUUAAUCCUUGGUCAACCCUUGGUCAAUCGUUGGUCAACCGUUCAUCAACAAUUGGUCAACCCUUGGUCAAUGGUUGGUCAGCCACUGGUCAACCCUUGGUCAAUGGUUGGUCAACCAUUCAUCAACCCCUGGUCAACCAUUCAUCAACCCUUGGUCAACCCUUGGUCAACGGUUGGUCAGCCAUUCAUCAACCCUUGGUCAACCAUUCAUUAAUCCUUGGUCAACCCUUCGUCAAUCGUUGGUCAACCGUUCAUCAACAAUUGGUCAACCCUUGGUCAAUGGUUGGUCAACCAUUCAUCAACCCUUGGUUAACCCUUGGUUAACCCUUGGCCAACCAUUCAUCAACCUUGGUUAACC
rnacentral:lncRNA from 1 species